UCGGGCAUUGUCUAAUGGUAGGACGUCAGUUUCUGGAUCUGAAGGUUGGGGUUCGACUCCCUGUGCCCGAGCCA
rnacentral:tRNA from 2 species